rnacentral:lncRNA from 1 species
UCAGUAAUUACAUUAUUGGAAGUGGACUAUAUUUAAUUUAGUUACAUUCAUUUGAAAAAAAAAAAUCAUGUUUAAGAAUAUUCCAGCAGGACUGUAAAAAUAUUGUUUCCUGCCUUUAUCUGUACAUGCAUAUGAGGGUGUGGAUGGUUAUUUACAGAAUAGAGAAUUAAAAUGGCAAAACAGUGCUUAAAAGGUCUACAAAAAGGAUAGGUACAAAAAAGACAAAAACAAAAAGUAGUAGAAAAUAGAAUAAUGGGGUGCUCAAAUAUAAAUUAUAGAGAAAAAUGGUGUGAAAAAUAAAAAGAAUAACUAUAUCAAGGAUUACCCAUCAAGGCCCUCAUAU